ensembl:lncRNA
UAUGACUUACUGUAUGUUACGUUAUUUGACAGUCUUUUUGCAGCUGUGUGGCUGACAUGAAUUUACAACUCAACUUGCUUAAAAGUGGACAGGCUGUGAAGAUGUACCUGAAGUGUGAAGCAGCUGUGUGCCAACACCAGCAGGGAAAAAGACAGAGUCACUUGAUGAAUAUUUUAAAAUCACUUGCUUUUCAGUGUGAUGAUAAGCCUAAAGUAGGGUAGAGUCUCUGUUUUCACCCUAUGGUUAUUUAGUGCUUGAUUGCUUGUUUUUGAAACAGCAUGCAAGUUGGAUGAAGAAAAAUAUUAGGGUUGCCAAUGGUCAGGAUCUGUUAUCUUUUGUCACUACUACUAGAUCUAGAUAAUUUGGGCUGAUUAUUAUACUUGGAUUGCUUUGAAGUUGUAUGUGUAAAACUUUCCUGUUCUGUUCUCAAAAAAAAAAAAAAUUAAAUUCAUCAUCAGAAACAAUUGGUCCAGAGACACCUUUGCUAAUAUGCAGAGCCUUUUCAAGCAAGCAGAUAGAUCUGAUACUUGAAGAAAAAUGCAAUGGUUAUGCUUUUUGGUCCAUAGCUUCCUGGUGAGGACUCUCACUUCUUGGAAAUGGCUUCUAUGUUGUCGCAUUGUUUGAGUCAAGGAGGACACAUUCAGAUGGGUGCCCUGGCGGAGCUGCUAAGUGACUACAGUGAUGUGACUUCAUGCUGUUCCAAGAUGAAAGGCUGUCAUCCAACUUCUACAACAAGAAAUCCAAACAGCCGAGAAGGCAAAAAACACCCUCUAUGAGAAUGCCAACUUCCAGGGAUCCUCCAAAGAAUUCACCAGUGAUGUUGCCAAUCUGAAAGGUGUGCACUGGAAUGACUGUUUCCUCAGUAAAAGUAAUAGAACACCUUUGGGUGGCUUAUGAGGACCUCAGCUAUGCAGGCCAGGUAUUGGUAUUUGAGGAAGGGCAACAUAGAUUUGUUGGUGAGCCAUUAAAUGGCAAGAUCACUUUCCUGCAGAUGAUUUCUUGAAAGCCUGCAGGAUCUGCAGAUUAGUCAACGAACAUGCUCAGUAUUGAGGGAAGAGCAGUGUGAUAACAGAAAAAACCAGUCUGGGUUGGAAACAUGCUACUGACAUUUUCACUAAGUCUAGAGAGGUGCAUGGCCAUUGUGUGAACACAAAGAUGUGAUUUUUGCUAGAUUGCAUGAGAAUGUGAACACCUUCCAAAUUACAACACAACUUCAAUGACAAGCUUCCAUCUGUACAUCUACUUCUGCAACAGACAUAUUAAAUAAUUCGUGUGCCAAGUAGUGACAACCACCGAAAGUAAGCAAGGAAUCCCAAGAAGCCUAUCUUCACCACUUCCGUGGACGUCACUGGAUACAAAAGACACCUUUCAUGUGUCCUCAUAGGGAUGAGGACAAGAAGGAGGACACUAAAGAAGCUUUGUGUUUCACAAGCUGCAGAUCUGCUUUGAGGACAACCAGAGUUGUCCUUUGGAACAAGCUCAGAGUUUCUUCAGGAUUGUGACUGUGUUUCUAUACUUUACCUCCAAAGGAGCACACUGAGAACUACAUAUGUUUCAAU